GAUGAACGCUGGCGGCGUGCCUAAUACAUGCAAGUCGAGCGAACAGACGAGGAGAUUGCUCCUCUGACGUUAGCGGCGGACGGGUGAGUAACACGUGGAUAACCUACCUAUAAGACUGGGAUAACUUCGGGAAACCGGAGCUAAUACCGGAUCAUAUAUUGAACCGCAUGGUUCAAUAGUGAAAGACGGUUUUGCUGUCACUUAUAGAUGGAUCCGCGCCGCAUUAGCUAGUUGGUAAGGUAACGGCUUACCAAGGCAACGAUGCGUAGCCGACCUGAGAGGGUGAUCGGCCACACUGGAACUGAGACACGGUCCAGACUCCUACGGGAGGCAGCAGUAGGGAAUCUUCCGCAAUGGGCGAAAGCCUGACGGAGCAACGCCGCGUGAGUGAUGAAGGUCUUCGGAUCGUAAAACUCUGUUAUUAGGGAAGAACAAAUGUGUAAGUAACUAUGCACGUCUUGACGGUACCUAAUCAGAAAGCCACGGCUAACUACGUG
rnacentral:rRNA from 1 species